rnacentral:tRNA from 1 species
UUGAUCUGGUGGGCGAUGCCCUUGUUCAGCAGGCUGACGCCCUGCGCGAUGGACGUGCCGAACGUUUCGCCGGUGCCGGCGACCGGCCAGAACUGU